rnacentral:rRNA from 1 species
UGCGAACUGCAGGACACAUGAACAUCGACAUUUCGAACGCACAUUGCGGUCCUCGGACACUGUCCUCGGACCACUCCUGACUGAGGGUCGGUUCCAAUUUAAAGACUGCCCGGCCAUGUGUGCUUACUGCCGAAAACGGACUUGCUCGACGUUUGCGAUGCGAUUGGAUCUGUUAAAGAUCGAGAUCGCGAGCUGACGAUCGUACAGCUGGUCUGUGAGAAGUAGGUGGUGAGCGCUUUUAUGGCUAUAUGGGCGAGUUGGACGGUUGACGCGUAGCUAAACGUCUAGCGACGUUUUACGCGCCGUCUUGAAUUGCGACAGCACAUCUUACGAUGCGCGGUAUCGCACACGUUCCGCUUCCUCGACUGAAGGUACGCGAUCGUCGUGUCCGAGUAAUCUUGAACGACGUCAGAUCGCUACGUACUCGAGUCGCAGGUCGUGCGGAUAGUGCGUUCAUAAGCGUAUCUCCGAGACGAAGUCCUAGAGCGGUUUUCCGUAUCGGUGGACCUAUCUCGAUGAAUUCGAACUUACGACCUCAGGACAGG